rnacentral:rRNA from 1 species
CCUACGGGUGGCAGCAGUGGGGAAUAUUGGGCAAUGGGCGCAAGCCUGACCCAGCAAAGCCGCGUGAAGGAAGAAGGCUUUCGGGUUGUAAAAUUCUUUUCUCAGGGACGAAGCAAGUGACGGUAACUGAGGAAUAAGCCACGGCUAACUACGUGCAAGCAGCCGCGGUAAUACGUAGGUGGCAAGCGUUAUCCGGAUUUACUGGGUGUAAAGGGCGUGUAGGCGGGACUGCAAGUCAGAUGUGAAAAGCACGGGCUCAACCUGUGGCCUGCAUUUGAAACUGUAGUUCUUGAGUACUGGAGAGGCAGGCGGAAUUCCUAGUGUAGCGGUGAAAUGCGUAGAUAUUAGGAGGAACACCAGUGGCGAAGGCGGUCUGCUGGACAGCAACUGACGCUGAGGCGCGAAAGCGUGGGGAGCAAACAGGAUUAGAUACCCGUGUAGUC